rnacentral:sRNA from 1 species
CACGUCAAUAAAAUUAUCCCUAGGUUUUUAAAAAUUGUACAUGUUUA